UACGGGGGGGGCAAGCGUUGUUCGGAAUUACUGGGCGUAAAGGGCUCGUAGGUGGCCAACUAAGUCAGACGUGAAAUCCCUCAGCUUAACCGGGGAACUGCGUCUGAUACUGGAUGGCUUGAGAUUGGGAGAGGGAUGCGGAAUUCCAGGUGUAGCGGUGAAAUGCGUAGAUAUCUGGAGGAACACCGGUGGCGAAGGCGGCAUCCUGGACCAACACUGACGCUGAGGAGCGAAAGCCAGGGGAGCAAACGGG
rnacentral:rRNA from 1 species